rnacentral:lncRNA from 1 species
CGUAAAUACACAAAAGCCACUGUCAAAUAUUUUUGGUAAUACAAAUAAAAAUAAUACUAUUUUGGACUCUAGUAAUAAUACCAUGGGCAAACUAAUUCAACCUAGUAUUUUUGGAAAUAAUACUGCUAGUGGUAAUCAGAGCCCUUUUAAUAAAACAACUGACAUGUUUUCUACGAACAACAACUUGACGAAUAAUGCCAACGCAAGUACUACUGUUGGUAUGGGUAUAACAGGAUUGAAUAACAACAAUAGUGGUAAUACAUUUUUUGGAUUUGGUAACAAUAAUAUGUUAGGUGUUCAAAGUAAUAAUAAUACAAACAUAAGUACAGACACAGGCAAUAAUAACAAAACAAACGAAUUAAACAAAAGUACGAUAAAUUUAUUUAAUUUUACAAAUAGAACAGCUAAUAAUUCUAAUUAUGCCGAAUUAUUCACUAAUGAAACGGGAUCGAAAGAACUAUUUAAAGACCUAAAACUUAGUAACGAUACUGGUCCUAAAUUUAGUGUUAAUAAAAGACCUUUAUUUGGUAGUAGAGCCAAAGAAACGAGUAUGCUAGUAUCCAAUACUGCUACUACUAAUAUUACUAGUAGUACUACUGAUAUAAAUAGUACAAAUAAUAUCUUUAGUUCUUCUUAUGUAAAUAGAGAUAAUUUAUUAACCAGUCAGGAAAAACCUAUGAAAGUUAUAUUUGGUCAACGCAAUAAUACUACUACAACUAACAAUAAUAAUGAUGUUUCUAAUACUGGCAUGUGUACUAGUAAUAACACUACUGGUUUUGGUGUGACAUCUGGUAAUUCCAUUUUUGGCACAUCUAGUAACAUCACAAACAAUAACAAUCUUAUGAACCCUUUAACAAAUAAUGUUGUUAAAGGUGGUAUGUUUAAUCAAGGAGACAGCAGUAACAACAUCAUCAACAACAACAAUAGUGGUAUUAUUAGUGACAAUAAUAAUAAUAGUAUUAUUGCACAAUCAGAAACAAACAAAUUCACUUUUAAUGCCUCUUCAACUAGUAAUUUGUUCGGAAACAGUAUGAAUAUGUUUGGAAAAAAUAACAAAGAAACUACUGAUGGUAGUACUACUAAUAGUAUCAACAAUAAUUUGACACUUUUUGGAAAUAAUACAAAAAACAAUUUAAUGGACAAAAAUAAUAAUGAUACUACACUUACUACAAGUGGUAAUAAUUUAUUUCGUAAUUUAAAUGAUAAUACUACAGCAAACCAAACAAAUAAUACAUCAGUUUUAAAUAUACCAACAAAAAAAUUAACCUUAGAAGAAAGAAAAAAAAAAACUGCUAAAAAUAAAAGCAUUGUUUCAUUAUUUUCACAUAACACUCAGAACACAAAUGAUAGUACUAAUAAUAUAAAUAAUACAUCUAAUUUUAUGGACAAGUUUAAUCAAUUAACCCCAAUGAAUAAUAAUAAAAACAACAACCUAUUUGGUAUUAACACGACGGCAAAUAAUAAUAAUGCUACCAACAAUAUGAGUCUUUUUGGUUUUUCUAAAACAUCCGCACUAACUACACAAAAUAAUUAUGAUGAUAAAAUGGAACCUUCCAGAAAAAUGAUCAAUAUAUUUGGUAAACCAGCCAGUAUUACUAAUUUGUUGUUAAAGCCGGAUGAAAAAGAUAAUAAAGACAAACCAUUUAGUUUACCUAUUGGAGAAAGCGGUAAAAAUACAGCGUUUUUUAGUGGCAUUUUAACUAAACCGGGAGCCACUGCAGCUGUAAGUUCAGAUGAUAAAACAAGUUCAGAUGUCAAGGAAAACGAAAAUAAUGUAACUAAAAAUGCGACUAAAAAUAUUUUCUCCUUCAGCUUUGCAAAGAGUGAUGAAAAGGGUAAUACUGAAACAGGUAUACAGAACGAAACAAACAAACAAAUGGUAAAUUUAAAAGAAGAUUCUAAAAAUGAUACGAAGGUGGGUGAUACGAAAAUGGGUGAUACGAAAAUGGGUGAUACGAAAAUGGGUGAUACGAAGGUGGGUGAUACGAAAAUGGGUGAUACGAAGGUGGGUGAUACGAAGGUAGGUGAUACGAAGGUGGGUGAUACAAAAGCGAGUGAUACAAAAGCAGAUGAUGAUACAAAAACGGGUGAUAGUGCGGCUGUCGAAGCAAACACAUUAAGUACAGAUUCCAGCAACAAAACAAAAAGCAUUUUCUUCGAAGACACAAACAAAAUAAAAUUGUUUAAUAAAACAGAUGCACCCGAUACAAAUGACGGAGAAGCCGAAAAAGGAGAUUCACUUCAACAAAAAAAAAAACUUUCUUUUCGUUUAAUUUUGGCAGUAAAGAAAAUACAUUUACAUCUACUCCUCCUAAGCAAGAAAAAUCUAUUGAUAAAGUUACUACUGACGCUGAUCUUAAUGUUGUGGAUAAUGAAGAAGAAAAGGGGCAAAAAAAAAAAAGAACCAUAUCAUUUAGUGAUGCUUUAAAUAUAGGAAGCAAAAUUAAAAAGUCCAUUUUCAAAUUGGGUAUAAAUAAAGAAGAAGAUGUAGAACA